AUACGGAGGGGGCAAGCGUUGUUCGGAAUUAUUGGGCGUAAAGGGCGCGUAGGCGGCUGUGCAAGUCGGAGGUGAAAUCCCUCGGCUCAACCGAGGAACUGCCUCCGAUACUGCAUGGCUUGAGUCCCGGAGAGGGUAGCGGAAUUCCCAAUGUAGCGGUGAAAUGCGUAGAUAUUGGGAGGAACACCAGUGGCGAAGGCGGCUACCUGGACGGGUACUGACGCUGAGGCGCGAAAGCGUGGGGAGCAAACAGGAUUAGAAACCCCAGUAGUCC
rnacentral:rRNA from 1 species